UGAGCCGUCAAUGCCGAGCCUGACGCGGGGCUCGGACUCACGGACCCCGAGCUCACGAUCUGAGCCGAAGUCGAGUCAGAAGCUUGACCAGCCGAGCCCCCCAGGCUCCCCUCAAAGGAUUUUUUUCGAAAGUGGUGCGUCUGUCUUCGGAGCCCCUGUGAACGAGGCGGUGCCAUUCUGUGGCGUCUACACGUGGACGUGGCCCCGUGGCCUGGUUCUGCCGUCUGCUGCCCUUUGAUGUUGCUGAGCCUGAGGCCGCUCUGCGUUUCGUCCCUCUGAAGGUAGCCUCCUCUCCCUGUCUAGAUGCUUUUGGAUUUUUUUUUCCCCUUUAUUUUUGGAAUUCACGUUCUGGCAUGCUCCAAGGCGCGGCGGACACCUGAAAUGCCGGUGCUCACGGUUCCCGUAAAGCAUUCCUGAGGAACGACGAGGACGUUCGGGCGUCUCAGCCAUCAAGUGCCCGUGCGGUCCGGCGUGCAGAUGAGCGGCUGCCCGGGUGUGGCCUUAGCGUGACCUGAGCCAGGACCCCCUCGUCCGGCAGCCGGGUGGGGUGCUGAGCCCCUCUGUGCACCUGGGUUUUUAACCGUUUUCUUCCAGGGGGUCCAGAGAGCGUCCGGACCAAGCUGCGCUCCUCAGGAGCCCUGGCUGAGGGCGGCGGGGGCGGGCGCCCCAGGUGACAGGGACGUGGGCCCUGCUGCCUGCUGACUGGCUUUGUCGUGACGGCUUCCAGUUCCGGGGCUGGGGGGGGGGGCUGUGUCAGGGAGCAGGGGCUGCCUGGAUGCGUGAUGUCGCGGGACGCACGUGUAACGGCCCCGACUUCCAGAUGCCGUGCUUGCACGCGAGGAAACUGAGGUGCGGUGAGGGGGCUGGUUUGCUCAGGUCCUGGAGCACCUGGCGGUGACCGGGCCCCGGGGCUCCUGAGCUCCCUCCGGGCGCGUCCCCUGCCCUCCGUGUCCCUGAGCGAGCGCAAGACCUCUCCCACGGGGCGGCAGAGAACGCCCAGCCGAGCCCUCGGGAGCUCGGCCCGGUUCCUGCUUCCCGGGGAGGCCAGGGCCGCCCGGCGUGUCUCGCUCUGGUAACUGAAGCUGCAUCCGGGCGAGGAGGCCACAGGGCCACUUCCCGGAAGGGGACGGUCCUGGCGCACUGGGGGACAAGGACCAGAGACACGGGUGCAGACUCACCUCAGUGCCGUUCCUCGGGGGCGCUGAAGGCAUCCGCCAGUGGACGCUUCCCCAGCGACGUCCCCGUGCCGUGACGGCUCCGGUGAGUUUCCAGGCGCACCCAGCCCGCACCAGCGGCGGCCGGGUCCCUCGGGCUGGCCCUGAAGACGACUGCGGGCCCCGGGUGGGGCGCUGGGCCGGCACACCCAGACGUGUGCGACAAAUGCCACCGUGUGGUGGCCAAGCCGGGCCGGGCUGGCGAUCCCCGCGUGCUUUCGCACCGAUGGCUCCCGUUCCCUUGUUAAGACUGAAGACACGGGGGACAGAGAGGUGAAGGGACUUUGUCGAGUGUGCUGUGUGGUCAGGUUGGACUCCCUGUGGCAACCUGCCCCAGUCGGGCCCCUUCUGAGCCGUGGCCUUGGCUGGUAGCGUCGGGGACCCGGCUCCUGGGGUCAGGCAUGUUCCAGGGCGUGGUGCUCGUGCAGGAGCACAGGGCCGUGACCUCCUGGCCCACCUUGCCCCAGAGCAGGUCUGGGCCUGGAGCGGAACCUCGGUUCCCCCAUCCGGCCCGCUGGCACACGUGGAAAACUGGCAUUUUUGGGAAAUGAGUUCUUACUAAGAACUAAAGGAUGGGGCCCCUGGGUGGCUCAGUCGGUUAAGCGUCUGACUCUCGGUUUCGGCUUAGGUCGUGAUCUCAUGGUUCAGUCGGGCUCUGUGCUGACUGCUCAGAGUCCGCUUGGGAUUCUCUCUCUCCUUCUCUCUCCCUUCCUCUCUCUGUCUCCCUCUCUCCCCUCCUCGUUCUCUGUCUCUGUCUCAAAAUAAAUAAACAUUUAGAAAGAAGACAAAAGAAAUAAAGGGAAACAGCAAUCUGGAAACGGGCGUGUGAACCAAGGGCAGAGGGCUGAUGCUGAGCCUGUGUGGUGCUGACUCCCCACCCGCUUCCCCGGGGCUCCCCAUGCUGACCCUCCUCCUUCGUUCCCCCUCAGCAUGUCUGGCUGGCCCAGACUUUCCCAGGCCUCCCAGCAGGUCGUCUGGUGUCCUCGGGCCCUCCCAGAAGUUUCUGCACCCCUCCUCUGGCAGUGGGCCCUAAGCACGGGCCCCCUGAGGGGCUGCAGGAGGCCCACCCUGAACGAGGAGGACGUGGGUGGCCAGGCAGAGUCUGCCCUGGAGCAGGCUCAGGGGCGCCCUUCGGCGGCCCCAGGCCCAGAGCGGCUUCUCUGCACACCUUGGGACCAGAACCCUCCCCGCAUGGACCGCCCGUGGUUUUCUAGUUGAAAACCGGCGGGUGUUUGAGGUCUGCACUCAGCAUGUCCCGGAUGCGCAAGCUCGGGGCAGGUGUACGUCGGGGUAGGUUCACACCUGCUGUCCUCCUGUCAGUCUUUCUCCGUGGGCCUCACUGUGGUGACAUCAGUGGGAUUGAACCCCACCAGCUCAGAAAACAGUCCACGCGUGGGGGUAGAGGGCCUGCCCUCGGUUCCUGCCUGCGCUCGGCUCCCUCUGCCCUGUGUCCCCAUCCGGGCCUGGCCUCCCUCGGAUUCCCCGAUUCCCCGUCGUCCGUCCUCCCCUGUGUCUGCUUGACCUGCGGGUGCCACCUGGGCUCUCCCCUUCGCUCCUCAACGCUUAGCAAUUCAACGCUUAGCAAUUCGGCCUCUGCUCCCCUCUCUGCAAAGCCGCUUCCUGAGGGCCCCCCACCAGGGAUGCAGCCAGCAUCAGCCUGCGACCACCCCCUCCCUCCUCCCUCCUCCCUCCUCCCUCCUCCCUCCUCCCUCCUCCGUCUCCCGCCUCUGGCCCCGCCCUAUCUGUGGUGCCUCCUCCCUCUUCUGAUCCUGGCGGUUCUCUCUCUCCUCUGCUGGCCUAUGUCCUCUCUCUCCCUGUCCCCUGGCCAGUGUGUCCUGAGGUGACGGGGCUGACUUCUGAAUGUUCUUGCUUCUCUGCACGGGUGUCCCACAGGCUCCCCCCGACUGGCCUCGUCCUCGCCGGCAGACCCGCUCCUGCCUGUAGGUGCAUGUGCCGGGUGCCUGUCUCAGACUGGUGUUUGGAAACGUGAUGAAUCGAGAAGGGAAAUACUGUCAAGGAAAAGUCACAAGUUUUUGUCUUUGGGGGCGGUGACUCCAUCACUGGGGACAGGCAGAUCCCUUGUUCCGGGAAAGUUGCCCGAAGGGUGUUCACUGCUGCUCCCGGGACAGAGGGGUGUCGGGGUGAUGGGCGCUUGCAGGGGUCCAGCCCCCCGACACUUGGGCCAGAGGUCUGCGUCUGAUGCAUGCUCGGUUCUGGGGUAAAUCUGUGAAUUUAACUGCUGUCCGUUCUGGGGUGCAGACUGUGUUCCCGUUCGGCCUCCCGAGGCCAGUGAAGGUGCUGCCCGGGCGUCCCGGGCACACUCACACCUCACCUGCGGGACACUGAGGCCAGGGCGCUGGCCACAGGGCUGUAGUGGCCGGGCCGUGUGACCGUGUGGCUGCCUCCUCACUGGACGGGAAGCAGCGUGAGGUCCGGGGCCCUGCAGCUGCCGCGGGUGCCUUCCAGGGGAAUCGGGAGACAGUAGAUGUGUUAUCACCCGAGGGACCUCAGGAGGGCCUCCUCCGGUGGGGACGGUGGGGGGGGGGGCUGUGGUUUCUCGGAAGAGGUGUCACCCUGGGAUGGGAGGCUCCAGGUUGGCCUGCGUAUCGGGGAACCUCUUUCUCCCCUGCAGGUUGGCCGGGCGUGCGUUGGGGCGGCCUGUGGCUCCGGGGUGGCCUUGUGCCAGGAGCCGGCUGGUCCGUGGCCUGUGUGGUGCAGGUCAGUGCGGCUGGGGCAGGAGCCACGCGUCUGAGCGUCGAAGGCCUGGACCACCUGCCUGCCAGUCGUGACCUCCCGUUUGUGUUUUCUGAACGCGAAAAGCGGCGCACAGAUAUGCACACCCAAACGCGGGAGUACCAAGCGCGGAGGGCAGAGCGCCCCGUGCCGAGUCCCCCAGAUAACCACUAUUCGCAAGUGAGUGUCUGCUCUCCCAAAUUUUAUGCACAUGCGAGCACGCUAUCAUUUCUUUUCAAAAACAAAACUAGGGUAGAAUUGUACGUACCGCUCAUCUUGUAACUUGUUUUCUGUCAUUGAAACGCAUGGACAUCUUCCCGUGAAAAUGCAGGUAAAUCUGCCUUGUUCUCCUGCACGUGGUCUGCCGUGCGGCUCUGCCGUGGCCAUGCGGUCGGUCCCUACUCUGGACAUCUGGGGGGUCCGGGUUUCUGUUUUGCCAACAGCGAAUGUCUCUGCGCACAUUUGUGGGAGUUUUUCUACAGGAUAAACCCCCAGAAGGGGAAGUGCUGGGUCGGAAGACACGACCGCUGCCUAUUUUAAACAGAGAGCGAAUUCCCUUCUGGAAGAGGGACAGCUCUGUGCUGCCACGGGCCGGUCAUGAGGAUGCUGGUCCCACCCUCCCGGUGUGGCUGGCCUGCGUCGUCCUUGCUGGCCUUGGCUCUUGUCUCUGGCGGUCCCUCCAUACCCAGCCUCUCUCCUUUUGCGCAUUAAUGUAUCCAGUACCAAGGUCUAGCUGUGACCUUGCCAGCUCAACAAACCCGUUCGUUCAAGGGGCGCCCCGGGACUCAGUUGGUUGAGCGUCCGACUUCGGCUCAGGUCAUGAUCUCACAGUUCGUGGGUUCGAGCCCCGAGUCAGGCUCUGUGCUGAGAGCCUGGCGCCUUGCUUGGGAUUCUGUGUCUCCCUCUCUCUCGCCCCCUCCCCUGCUUGUGCUGUGUCUCUCUCAAAAAUAAACAUAAAAAAUUUUUUUUGAAAAAAUUAAUCCAGUCAACAAACAGUCGGUGGCUGUUCAGUAAGCGCCCCGUUCAAGCACAGCGCUGAACGAAGACGGUGAGGUUCCCGCCGCCGUGGGGCUCCUUCUCCGUCAGGGGAUGCGGACAUCAAACGCACGAAGAAGCAAACGCCAGGCAGCCGUGGCUGCCGUCCUGAGCGCCGAUACGGGUGUGACGGCUGGGGGAGGGGGGCUGGCCGAGAAAAUAAUUUCCGGGGAAAACAAGGUCGGGAGUCGGGGGCAGCGUGUGCGGAGGCCGGAAGGCAGGAGGGAAGGCAGCCGGGGCGGGCGCUGGGCAGAGCGGGGGGCGAGGCCUGGGGGGGGCCUGGCCGGGUACAGGUUUUCGAGCUAGGGCAAGAGGUUUGAAUUUUAAGUGUGAAGAGAAGCCGUUGGAAGGUUUUCAUCAGGGCAGCGAUGUGACCCGAGUGGUUUUUGGAAGGUCACCCUCGCUGGGGAGGGAACAGGUAGCAGGGCAAGAGCCAAGCAGGGAGACCGUCCGGAGGGACCAGGGACCGAGGCGCCUCGGGCAGGAGCGCAGCUGUGCGGGGGGAGGGGAGCGGACGGACUUUGUAACGAGGUAGCACACGAGGUGAUGUGAUUUGCUGAGGAGGGGACACGGAGGGAGGAAUGGAUUUAGGGGUAGGGCGACAGGAGUCUGUUCUGCCCAAGACAAGGUUUGAGAGGCUCAUCAAACACCCACAGGGGGCCGCCCGGUAGGCGGUUGGGAACGGCGUCUGGAACCCCAGGAGACCCGGGCAGGAGACCCGGAGGUCUACAUUUGGGAGCCAGAAGCACAUAGAUGCAGUUUCCAACCCCGGGGACAGAAAGCGGUCCCCCCCCCCCCCCCCAGGGAGCGUCCAGAGAGGAGGAGGGCCCUGGGACAGAGCCCCGAGGUCCUCGAUGACGAUGACGCUGAAAGAUGAAACCAAGGAAGCGGUGCUUCUAAAGCCGGAGGCUUAGUAGAUGCAAAUCGAGACCCAAAGCAAGAGAAUAACCGCAUUCAAGGAGGGGAAGGUCGGUGGGCACCACGCUGGCGGCUCGGGUGGAAAAGGAGACAUUGAUGAUGCAGCAGAGGACAGGGGCCGGAGCCUGGUCUUAGGAGGGAGGAGGGUGGGAUCCGACUCGGGACCGGAGCAGGGACACCCCGCGUCCUCCUGGGUGGUGGUGGUGGGGGGGGCACCAAGGGCCGGACGGGUUCCUGCCAGAUUCCAUCCAGGUCUCCCCAGGACGCAAGAAGCAGAUCCUUGGUGUGGUGGUGCUGGCAUGGGGUGCUGGGGGGGCGAGGGAGGGAUGACGGGGGACACUUCCUCUCAGGGAGCCACCUGAGGCUGAUUUGCAACCGUCCCCAGACGUUUAUUCAGCGGGGAGCCUCUGCCCUUCUGCCAGGCCAGCUUUUCUGCUGCCGAAGGCUGCUCCUCCUCUCCCGUGGUGGGGCAUUCCCCUCCUCCUUCUGUCCGUUGGAGGGGCGUCCACCCCCCUUCCCUCCCUGCUCCUUCUCUCCCUCGGCGGGGCGCCCCCCUCCUUCUCUCCCUCUGCAGGGCAUAGGAGGUGGAAGGCAAGGGGUCUGGGACGGAAGGAGGAGAGGGGAGGCACGCUUGUGGGAUACAGCGGAGCCUCCCUGGCCCUGGGCGGGCAGGAGACGGGGCGGGGUGGGGGGGAAGGGGGGGGCACUGGGCAGGGCUGGACGGGAGCCGCCGUCUGUCCGUGGCCUCCUGGCUCUGUGGUUCCGGUGGGGCGGGCAGCAGGCAGGGGCGGUUGCAGGCGGGAUUUCGGCGUGGGAAAGGGAGCGGCUGCGGGGCCGGGUGACUGGGGUGGAACCCGAGUGCGAGUUCGGUUCCCAGGGAGCAGGUCGGAAGUUGCCCUUCCCCUGACCCCUUUCUGCCAGGAGCGGCUUUCCCACGGUCCCCAAGCCGAGCGGGGUCCCCUGCAGCCCUUGGCUCCCGCGCCGCCCUGCCAGCUGGGGGCUGUUUCUGCAGGUGGCUCUGGCCCAAGGUGAAUGCCAGCCUGUGGGAAGAGCACAGAGACUCCCCUUGAUUCUCCCCACUGCCAGCAGGGCGGCUGGUCUCCCUUCCCCGUGGAGGGAUUUGAGGCUCAGACCCCUCGCGUGACUUGCCCCAGGCCUCACGUUGGCAGCUGAGCCCCAACGUGGUCCCGGGGGGUUCCUAGAUUUCUGGGAGGACAGAAGUACUCUGCUGUUCUGGUGAGGUUUGCUGCCGUCUGCAUGCAGACUGGGUAAGCAGUGAAGAUGAUCUUCUGAGAAUUUGUGUAACGAGAGAGGCAGUGCAGGGCCCAGGAACUGGCCCCAAAAGCUUCAGUCAAGUCUCGCCUCCAGCAGAUAUUAGCCUUGUUGCCUUGAGCAAGCCAUUUCGGGUCUCCUCCUGCUACCUGGGGCCAGUAAUGCCCGCCCCUCCCCCGCCCGCCCGCCCCCAUUCCAGGGCUGCUGUGAAGUUCACAUGAGAUAAUGUGCUGGAACUCAUCAGCGGGAAGCUAACAGGCCACAUGGAAGGCUGGGGUUUGAUUUCAGCCCAAGAGAGAGAGGAUUGUUUUUCAAAAGGAAAAAGGAUUCAUUGUACUUACUUGGGGAUGUCAUGAUCACACGUGGAUUUGUUGUUGAGGUUGUUGGCUGUGAGACAAAGGCACACGGGGCUGUGGGUGAGGAGUGCCCAGGCUGGGAAAAUUCCAGGCCCCACCGGUCUUGGUCUCCAGGCCCUCCCAGGCAGGAGGCAGCUUGCAAGAUUGAAGACUCUGAAUGAUGGCACGGCUGGGUGUGUCCUUUGUCACGCCCUGGGGUUUCUCCGGCAGGUUCUCCUGACUUCUUUGCACUCACUUGGCCUGGCAGCGGCCCUCGGUGCCGGCUGGCUGAACGGAGAGGAGGCUGCCGGGCUGCCCUCAAGGUCACUUGGAGGUGACCGGCUGCCUGGCGGACUCAGCCCCCAUCACUCUUACCUUUCUUGGUUCUUCGUGAACUCGUACUCAUCUUAUAGAUCAAGGCUAAAGGACCUCCUCUCUGGAAAGACGCUCCCCCUGCCCCCCACUCUGCCGUGUUACCAGAUGCCAUUAAUGGCCUUCUUCUUUGCUCCCGGAUCAGUGAGGAUGCUUUUGGUUGCAGGUAAUGAAGGAAAAUGAAUUCCAAUAGACUUCUGCAAUAAAGAGGAUUCAUCAUCUCA